CUUGAGAAAUACUCAUGCUACUGAAUCCAAAAUGGUGACUCUGUUCUUGUUGAUACAUUAUUAAGGCUGGGGUGUUUUGAGAAGGCAGUAGUAGGAGUAAACCUCCACACUCUUUUCUCAGGCCUUACCUAAAUCACCAAAGAGAAGAGUGGAGAGUGGGGACAGGUGUUUACCAACACCAAAUCUAAAUCUUUGCGUGUGUAAGGAAGACGGCAAGGCAUACACAGGGCCAUUCCUCUAUAAGUGAAUCUUAGUAAUGAAAAUUAGUGAUAAGGGCUGACAGCAUGAGUAGACGAUGGGAGACAUGAGUCUG
rnacentral:lncRNA from 1 species